CGGCUGAACAGCAACUGGAGGAAUGAAAGGCAAUAGCCGAUUGCAUUAAAUUUAAAAGAGUGGUCCCUUUUAAUUUAUAAUGUAGUUACUACUUGGUAGUUUAAAAUUCUAGGUAGAAUUAUGAUGAUGACAUUAUCUAUCUAUAAGUCUUGACCAAAAUACGUGCCAGCAGUCGCGGUAAUACGUAGAAGACAAGUGUUAUUCAUCUUUAUUAGGUUUAAAGAGUACCAAGACGGUUAAUAAAGCCCAAAAUAAUGAACAAAGGGGACACAUUAACUAGAGUUAUAUGAAAGGAAGCUCUAAGGUACUGUUGAGUGUAGAGAUAAAAUUCAGUCAUACCAGAUAAGCGGCACAGAUUAAUGCGAAGGCAUCUUCUUAUGUAAUAACUGACGUUGUAGGACGAAGGCUUUUGAAGUGAAGAGGAUUAGAUACCCUUGUAAUUUAAGCAGAAAAUGAUGAGUGUCAUAGGUUUAAUAGAAAUAAAGACAGGUCGGUCUAUUAUAUUAUUGAGUCUAUAAAUGAAAGUGUAAGCAUUCCACCUCAAGAGUAAUUUGGCAACAUUGGAACUGAAAUCAUUAGACCGUUUCUGAGACCAGUAGUGAAGUAUGUUGUUUAAUUAGAUGAUACACAAAAAACCUUACCACAAUUUGAAUAUAUAUCUUUAAAGAUAUUUACAAGCGUUGCACGGCUGUCUUCAGUUAAUGUCGUGAGAUUUUGGUUAGUUCCAUAAAAUUAACGUAAACCCUCGUUUUAUUUAUAAAUAAAAUUUAGAUCUGUUUCAAUGGAUUUGAGAUAAGAAAGGGACUAUGACAGUCUC
rnacentral:rRNA from 1 species